AUACGGAGGAUCCGCGCGUUAUCCGGAUUUAUUGGGUUUAAAGGGAGCGUAGGCGGACGCUUAAGUCAGUUGUGAAAGUUUGCGGCUCAACCGUAAAAUUGCAGUUGAUACUGGGUGUCUUGAGUACAGUAGAGGCAGGCGGACUUUGUGGUGGAGAGGUGAAAUGCUUAGAUAUCACGAAGAACUUCGAUUGCGAAGGCAGCCUGCUGGACUGUAACUGACGCUGAUGCUCGAAAGUGUGGGUAUCAAACAGGAUUAGAUACCCUGGUAGUCCACACAGUAAACGAUGAAUACUCGCUGUUUGCGAUAUACAGUAAGCGGCCAAGCGAAAGCGUUAAGUAUUCCACCUGGGGAGUACGCCGGCAACGGUGAAACUCAAAUGAAUUGACGGGG
rnacentral:rRNA from 1 species